CACCUCUUCUGUCAUCCGCUGGAGGAAUCCACACACAUCCUGCAGCUUCUCUGCUGUGAGCUGAGCUCUGAGACACCAGCCAGAGUCCUCAUGACCAAUAGAAGAGGGAAAUCCAGACCCACGCAAUUCAGCCAGAAUUUCAGAUCUGUUCCUAUUCGCCUCCAAGCAGGUGCAUUGGGCCCUAUGAAUAAAUCAUAAAGCAUGUUAUGAUCAAACAACCCUCUGUGCGGCCCCUGCAGAUCUUGUGGAUUUUCCGAGUGAGGAAGCAGGCAGGUUUCGACCUGUUUUUUCCAGACUCUGGACGCGCUCUCGGAGCAGAUCCGCUUGUUUGGCCUGGUCUUGUAAGGUCUUAACGUGCUCCAGUCCUGCAGCCAGU